ensembl:lncRNA novel transcript
AGAGAGACUGGCCCAUUGAUCCUAGUUUGGGAUUGGGUGGGAAGACCUCAUAAAAUAGUGAAGGGUAGACUGAGUCUUGAAUGACCUAAACAAAUAUAUAGAUAUAAUUGGCCAGCCCUCAGCUGGUCUCUGAUUAUGACCCGACCUGCUGAGAUAAAAUCCAGUGCAUCCUGUGCUACCUUGUUCAUGUCCCAGGAUUCAGUGACUUUGGGCAACUGAGGCUGUACAGGAAGCAUGGCUGGAGAGGCCCCAGGAAACUUACAAUCAUGGUGGAAAGCAAAGGGGAAGCAGACUGUACAGGAAGCAUGGCUGGGAGGCUUCAGGAAUUUACAAUCAUGGCAGAAGGCAAAGAGGAAACAAGCACAUCUUCUCAUGGUCAGCAGGAGAGAGAGAGUGAAGGGGUGCUGGUGAUGCAAUCAGACAAGUUCUCUGCUGUUCUGGAGUUUACAUUUGGAAGAAUUGUGUUAUAUACCAGGGAAGGAUGUGGUAACUCUCCUGAAACCUUCCCUUGGUCAUUGUCUUCUUCUUCUUCUCCUCCUCCCUUUUCUCCCUCUCUUCCCCCUCCUCCUUCUCCUCUUAUUCUUCUUCCUCCUUCUGUUUUUAAAUGAGGAAGCCCAUAGAAAAUAUUGUGACAGGGAGAAAUGGAUUUUAAAUAAGUAUGACUGAAAAAAAACUUUUACUAUAAUAGAAAAUCUUGGUGCUGAGGGAAGAAAUCCAAAAAAUUAAAAAUCUUCAGAAGGUAUGUCUUUGAACAGACAAACAUUCAUGGACUUUUGAAAUUCAUUACUUCUUUGGUGCCUGGGAGACUGACUUGCUGUGUCUUUCAGCUCUUCUUGUUAGAGGGAUAAAGAUUCCGCCUAACAUAUUUUCUCAACAAACUUUUGCUUUCCAAUAAACUGAAUAAAGUGGGAAUAUAGCUUCUCACUUUCUCCUAACCUUCAAUUAAUUAUUAAUAAAAACUUUAAUGUACAUGU